rnacentral:lncRNA from 1 species
CUGACCUAUGAUUUUUUUUCAGGCCUUAGCCUGGCCUGUGGCCUAUCAAAUGUUAUUUUUUUUGCCUGGCCUGAGCCUUUUAAAAGCCUGGCCUGGCCUUAUAGCCUGUUUAAAAGUCUGUGUUACAUUAAAACUUCUCUAUAUAGUUUUUUUAAAUAGGCUAAACAGGCCUUAAAAAGUUCACAUUUAAAUUUUUAUAAUUUCUACAACAUUAAGAAAAAA